AACUCUAUUUACACGACGUCUCUUCUGAGUGGCACAAGCAAAUAAUUAAAACUUUUAACAACGGAUCUCUUGGUUCUGGCAUCGAUGAAGAACGCAGCGAAAUGCGAUAAGUAAUGUGAAUUGCAGAAUUCAGUGAAUCAUCGAAUCUUUGAACGCACAUUGCGCUCGCCAGCAUUCUGGCGAGCAUGCCUGUUCGAGCGUCAUUUCAACCCUCAAGCACCGCUUGGUUUUGGGGCCCCACGGCCGACGUGGGCCCUUAAAGGUAGUGGCGGANCCUCCCGGAGCCUCCUUUGCGUAGUAACUAACGUCUCGCACUGGGAUCCGGAGGGACUCUUGCCGUUAAACCCCCAAAUUCUUUACAGGUUGACCUCGGAUCAGGUAGGAAUACCCGCUGAA
rnacentral:rRNA from 1 species